AACAAAGCCAGCUUCACUUUAAGAGAACCUAGAUGCUAAUUGUAAAGAAGCUUGGAGUCAUAAUAUAUUUAAACGUUAUAUGUUUGCUGUUCUUCAUCUUUUUAAAUAUGAAGUCUAUUCAUGUUUGUGUUUACAGAGGUCAUGUACACUGUGGUCAACUUUGUGGACGAUGAAGAGGUUUCUGGGUAAAGAUGAUAGAAAUAUAAUGAAGUAACAGUGAAAGCUAAAACAUCAGACUGAUCCAGACACUGAAGAAAUUGAUGUCACUGCAAUCUGGCCAAAAUGAUACAACUAUAUUGAAGUAGCCUACUGUAAUGAAGCUGCAGAACAACACAGAGACUCUUGAGGACAUCAACACAGAAAAUGAAGGCUCCAAAGAGAUGUCUGUCCAGAUGAGGGUGCAUCAAUGUUACGUUUGCUGACAAGUAUAUGCUUUACAAUGUAAAACCUAACAGUUAACUUAACUCAAACCAUUUAAGGAAAUCGGUUGCCUUAACCCAUUAAGUUUUAAAAAACAUACAUUUGAGUACUGUGAACUUGAGUUUAGUUAACUUUUAGGUUUUACAGUGAGAAAUUCUUGAAUAAUUCCAAGACAGAGCUCUGCAAUUGAAUCAACACUGCAAAAAAUCAGUUUCUAACUUAGGAUUUUUAUCUUGUUUUUAGUAGAAAAACGAAAAAUUCUUAAAUCAAGAUGUAUUUUCUUGAUGAGCAAAAUUACCUAAGAAAAUGUCUAGUUUUUAGACAAAAAUAUACAAUUUAAGUAAAUUUGUGCCUGAACAAGCAAAAAUAUAUAACAAUGGGGUGAGAAAAUUGUGCUUGAAUUAAGUUUUUAAGAAAAAAGAAAACUUAAGAUUUUUUUCUCACACCAUUGGCAGAUAUUUUUGCUUGUUUUAAGCACAAAUUCACUUAAAUUGUGUGCAUUUAUUUAUUUUGUCUAAAACUAGACUUAUUUUCUUAGGUCAUUUUGUUCAUCAAGAAAAAGCAUUUUAUUUAAAUAAUAUUUCUACUGAAAACGAGACAAAAAUACUAUGUAAGAAAGUCAUUUUUUUGCAGUGUAGGACUGAUUUCUUAAAGCAAGAUCAAUAUAGUUGUUGUUCAUUUUAUUUAGAUAUUUACUACAUUACAGUGGCAGCUGGUGACUUCUUUUUUUGUGAGCACUCGAUGCAAAGUCUGUCACAACAUGUAUAUAGCCAGUCAUUUGUGUGGUUCCCAAUUUCAAAAUAUGUGUUCUGCGUGUAUGUGCAUCACGUGUUUUGACUAAACACGUGAUGCACAUGGUUUACAUGAAGCAACAAACACAUUUUAUAAACACAAGCAACACACAUGACACUCCGAACACUUAUUUUGAAUUUGCACCCCUCGGAUGAGCAGUCACGAGCCGCCACUGCUACUAUACAUUGUACUGCUUUGAAUGUAGUUUUCAUUGUCGCUUUUAUUUUGUUUUAUUUUACUCUAAUAUUGCUUUCUCUGUCUGUAUAUUUAUGAGUUUAAAUAGUAUUGUUUAUGUAUGCAACUUUUAAUAUUUGUGUAUAAUAUUAUUUUGUGAUUGUGAAUUGUUCAGUUUUUUAUUAAAUAAACAUUUCAA